rnacentral:rRNA from 1 species
UACAGAGGGUGCGAGCGUUAAUCGGAGUUACUGGGCGUAAAGGGCGCGUAGGCGGUUAUAAAAGAUUGAUGUGAAAUCCCUGGGCUUAACCUAGGAACUGCAUCGAUGACUGUAUGACUAGAGUAUUGUAGAGGGUAGUGGAAUUUCCGGUGUAGCGGUGAAAUGCGUAGAGAUCGGAAGGAACACCAGUGGCGAAGGCGG